CUGUGGUGGGAUGCAGGAAUGACUGUAACAGCACACAUGCACAAAUGUGUGUAUAGGGGGGUCUGACAGUGAGGGAGAAUGCAGUCAUUUAUAGUGUAGCAGCCACGUUCGCCUCCACCACCAAGCAGAGCCACAGCAUUGAGCCUGCUGUAGCCUUGAGGGAGAGCGCAGACAAGGACAAAACUGCCGCUGUCGCUGAUGGAUUUGUGGGGGAUAUACAUCUUGUUGCGCAGCAUGAUUAUUGCAUCGAUCUCAAAGCACCGCUUAUCAAAAACAACCAUAACAACAAACAAUUGCGUGAGGGAUUCACAUCGAUCUCAAUCCCUCACCAUUCAGGAACAACCAACAACAAACAAUUUCGGACUCCUAUCCUGAGGUCACCAGAACCAGCUGGAUCCAGCUCUAUUCCUGCUUGGUGUUGGACUCCACUGCUACGUGUCUCGAGUGAUGACGACUAAAUGCAGCAGGUGCCAAGCCAAACAUCACUUCAGUCUAUUACGAUGGACUUCAGAGGAUGAACUGGUGCCAACUCUAACCAUAAGACAUGGGAUACAUCAUAUGCCAUUGCCUGAACCUUGGACUUCACCGAAAUUACCGGCUGGUUGAACUGCGAUCCACCUCACUGAUCUCUGCCUGCAUCAACUACUACACUCUUAUAAUGGAAUAUAUAGACUAUCAAUGAAUUGCCAACAAAACACUUCAUCAGCCAACUAACAAAGGACAAUGCAUCUAAGUGAACUUCUGCAGUUAAUCCAGGAUGAACUACAAAGACAUUAGUCAUCAAUCUUACAGUUCUUACUAAAUCUUUGUUUAAACUCUGACCCUUAACACUUAGUUUAAUAAUUUUAUACCAUGACUUGCACUAUACAUAAUUAAGUAAUAUUGGCAUUAUAUUCAUGAUGUUAGCCAGAGGGGAACUGGCCCCACAGUGAGUCUGGUUUCCCCAAGGUUAUUUUUCUCCAUUAACCAACAUCUUAUGGAGUUUUGUGUUCCUUGCCAGAGUCACUUUUGGCUUGCUCACUGCGUUUCUACAUACAACUAUUAUUUAUUCACUUAUUUUUAAGCACAAUUCACAAUUGCAUUUUAUCAAACUACACGAUGACUCUAAGACAUUAUAGAUAUUACAGUUUCAUUUUCUGUUAAUGCAUGAUUUUCUGUAAAGCUUCUUUGAAACUAUGUGUGUUGU